rnacentral:rRNA from 1 species
UACGUAGGGGGCGAGCGUUGUCCGGAUUCAUUGGGCGUAAAGCGCGCGUAGGCGGCUCCGCAAGUCGGCCGUGAAAUCUCCGGGCUCAACUCGGAGGGGUCGGGCGAGACUGCGGGGCUCGAGGUGGGCAGAGGGCAGUGGAAUUCCGGGUGUAGUGGUGGAAUGCGUGGAGAUCCGGAGGAACACCAGUGGCGAAGGCGGCUGCCUGGGCCUGGCCUGACGCUGAGGCGCGAAAGCGUGGGGAGCGAACAGG